CCUAACACUUAAAUACGGAAAAAGUUGAGUAGGCUACUUCAUUCUACAAGUGAAAUUGAGAAUUCAACACUCCUCGAUCGCGAAAAUCAUAUAUGUAACUAGAUUCCGAUUUCCUGAAAAACAGUGAUAGGUAGCCUAAUAAUGUGUAGUUACAGUUUCGUUUCAAUUUUCGCGUUUAUUUUGGCGUUUUACGUUUCUACGGAUGGCAUACAUGUUAUAGAACGAUUGAUAGCUGUCGUAUUAGAUUCAGAAACUUAUUGUGAAGAAUAUAAAGCGGCAUAUCCAGGAGCACAAUGCAAAGUUUGUUCAACAGAUUUAUGCAAUUCUUGGUCUGGCAGCCACGCACCUCCAACCAAGGCACCUCCAACCAAGGCACCUCCAACCACAUCAUCACCAAAGGCGAAAGAAUUCACAUGGGAUGGCAUUCACUACCUCUGUUAUCCAAGGGUGUAAACCUCAACUACAGAUAACAGAAAACCGUAACCAAACGAACAACCACCAUACCAUGAUUCUCAUCAGCUCCAACCAUGUGAUCACCUACUUACAAUCACAUCUCUACCUGCAGAGAUGGAACAAAUCAAAAUCUGGAUUAAGGGUAAUUCGUUACCUCUGUUAUCAUCAGUAACGAUUUUUAAUGAAAACUGAGCUUUGGACAGGGAUUUUGCAAAAACUAUUGGAUGGAUUUUCGUGGAGUUUGGUUCAUUCUAUUCAUUCUAAGUACAAAUAAAAAUUGAAAAAUUAUAAUAACGUUGACUAUUUCCCAGUAAAAAAUAUAACAACAGGCCUAAUAAAA